rnacentral:rRNA from 1 species
AGCGAACGCUGGCGGCAGGCUUAACACAUGCAAGUCGAACGGGCGUAGCAAUACGUCAGUGGCAGACGGGUGAGUAACGCGUGGGAACGUACCUUUUGGUUCGGAACAACCCAGGGAAACUUGGGCUAAUACCGGAUAAGCCCUUACGGGGAAAGAUUUAUCGCCGAAAGAUCGGCCCGCGUCUGAUUAGCUAGUUGGUGUGGUAACGGCGCACCAAGGCGACGAUCAGUAGCUGGUCUGAGAGGAUGAUCAGCCACAUUGGGACUGAGACACGGCCCAAACUCCUACGGGAGGCAGCAGUGGGGAAUAUUGGACAAUGGGCGCAAGCCUGAUCCAGCCAUGCCGCGUGAGUGAUGAAGGCCCUAGGGUUGUAAAGCUCUUUUGUGCGGGAAGAUAAUGACGGUACCCGGAGAAGAAGCUGCGGCUAACUACGUGCCAG